rnacentral:rRNA from 1 species
UUUCGUACAAUAAGAGAUGAGGUGUAAAGGUGUUUCGUGUUCAACAGGGGUUCAGCUUAAUUAUUAUUGAGUGAGUGCUCAGAGAAGGUGAAAAGCCUGUGUAGUUGUGCUAGCCUGUUGGACUGUAACACUAAAGAGUCUAGUUGUUUGAGAGUACAACUUAAAGCUGGUGGUAAAUUUCAUCAAAGGCUAAAUAUAUGAGGGGACUAAUAGCGAACAAGUACCAUGAGGGAAAGUUGAAAAGAACUCUGACGAGAGAGUUCAAUAGUACGUGAAACCAUAUUGAGUAAAACAGAUAACUGUGCUUUUAUGUGGUAUGCCUAUCAACAGUUUGUUCGGUGUUGUGAUGCCUUGAGUGUAGGUUGUCUAUUCAGCUGAUUUCUCGAGGUUGGCAUAACCGGAGAUUCUGUGCAAUAGUGCACACCCGAACGUUGAGAAACUAUGCUGCUGCGGCAUCGGAGUGCAACAGUCCGCACGUAGUGCGCAGUUGUACGCUGGGUGCAGCUGGCUGGCGUAGUUUAGCUGUCAGACAGCUGUAGGCUGCGUUUAUGAUAGGUUUCUGCUGUAUCUGCGAAUUGGUUUAUUCCUUUUUGUGGUGAGCAUGUCAUCGUCAGUAAGCGGUCUGCCAUCAAUGUUAUAGCAUUUGUUAUUUGACCCGUCUUGAAACACGGAUGGGUUUUACCACCCGAAGGCGAAGUGAAAUGCAAACCUAUUGUUAUUUGUGGUUGUUCCAUGAUUAAGCGAUAAGCUACUCAUGCUUUCUGGCAUUUGUAGACUACAAGCGUGAUGUUUGAGACCCGAAAGAUGGUGACCUAUGCCUAGUCAAGAUGAAGCCAGAGGAAACUCUGGUGGAUGUCUGAAGUUAUUCUGACGUGCAAAUCGAUAAUCUGAUCUGGGUAUAGGGGCGAAAGACUAAUCGAACCAUCUAGUAGCUGGUUCCUUCCGAAGUUUCCCUCAGGAUAGCAAGCGUACAUUUUUAGUUUCAUCCCGUAAAGCGAAUGAUUAGAGGUAUUGGGGCGUAUAUAGCCUCAACCUAUUCUCAAACUUUUAAUGGGUGUGAGUGUUCUUUCUCAAUUGAAGAACGCUGUUAAAUAAGUAUGCUUAGUGGGCCAUUUUUGGUAAGCAGAACUGGCGCUGUGGGUUGAACCAAUUGUUGAGUUAAAGUGCCUAAAGCUGGAAUGCGCAUGAGAUCUAUAAAGGGUGUUAGU